rnacentral:rRNA from 1 species
UACGUAGGGGGCAAGCGUUGUCCGGAAUCAUUGGGCGUAAAGCGCGUGUAGGCGGCUUGAUAAGUCCGUUCUGAAAGCCCGGGGCUCAACCCCGGGAGGCGGAUGGAUACUGUCAAGCUUGAGUCCGGAAGAGGCGAGUGGAAUUCCCGGUGUAGCGGUGAAAUGCGCAGAUAUCGGGAGGAAUACCGGUGGCGAAGGCGGCAUCCUGGACCGGCAUUGACGCUGAUGAGCGAAAGCUAGGGGAGCAAACGGG